AUUGAACGCUGGCGGCAUGCUUUACACAUGCAAGUCGAACGGUAACAGGCCUUCGGGUGCUGACGAGUGGCGAACGGGUGAGUAAUGCAUCGGAACGUGCCCAGAGGUGGGGGAUAACGCAGCGAAAGCUGUGCUAAUACCGCAUGUGAUCUGAGGAUGAAAGCGGGGGACCAGGCAGCAAUGUUUGGCCUCGCGCCUUUGGAGCGGCCGAUGUCAGAUUAGGUAGUUGGUGGGGUAAAGGCCUACCAAGCCGACGAUCUGUAGCUGGUCUGAGAGGACGACCAGCCACACUGGGACUGAGACACGGCCCAGACUCCUAAGGGAGGCAGCAGUGGGGAAUUUUGGACAAUGGGCGCAAGCCUGAUCCAGCAAUGCCGCGUGAGGGAAGAAGGCCUUCGGGUUGUAAACCGCUUUUGUACGGAACGAAAAGGCUCUGGCUAAUACCUGGGGCUGAUGACGGUACCGUAAGAAUAAGCACCGGCUAACUACGUG
rnacentral:rRNA from 1 species